GACGAACGCUGGCGGCGUGCUUAACACAUGCAAGUCGAGCGGUAAGGCCCUUCGGGUACACGAGCGGCGAACGGGUGAGUAACACGUGGGUGACCUGCCUCUAGCUCUGGGAUAAGCCUGGGAAACUGGGUCUAAUACCGGAUAUGACUCCACGGCGCAUGUUGUGGGGUGGAAAGCCUUGUGUGGCUAGAGAUGGGCCCGCGGCCUAUCAGCUUGUUGGGUGGGGNGAUGGCCUACCAAGGCGACGACGGGUAGCCGGCCUGAGAGGGCGACCGGCCACACUGGGACUGAGACACGGCCCAGACUCCUACGGGAGGCAGCAGUGGGGAAUCUUGCGCAAUGGGCGAAAGCCUGACGCAGCGACGCCGCGUGAGGGAUGACGGCCU
rnacentral:rRNA from 1 species